rnacentral:piRNA from 1 species
UGUGAAGGUGCACAGGGACAAAAUAGU